rnacentral:rRNA from 1 species
GGGGAAUAUUGCACAAUGGGCGAAAGCCUGAUGCAGCAACGCCGCGUGAGUGAUGGAGGCCUUCGGAUUGUAAAGCUCUGUCUUUGGGGACGAUAAUGACGGUACCCAAGGAGGAAGCCACGGCUAACUACGUGCCAGCAGCCGCGGUAAUACGUAGGUAGCGAGCGUUGUCCGGAUUUACUGGGCGUAAAGGAUGCGUAGGCGGAUGUUUAAGUGAGAUGUGAAAUUCCCGGGCUUAACUUGGGAGCUGCAUUUCAAACUGGAUAUCUAGAGUGCAGGAGAGGAGAAUGGAAUUCCUAGUGUAGCGGUGAAAUGCGUAGAGAUUAGGAAGAACACCAGUGGCGAAGGCGAUUCUCUGGACUGUAACUGACGCUGAGGCAUGAAAGCGUGGGUAGCAAAC